AAUAUUGGUCAAUGGACGCAAGUCUGAACCAGCUAUGCCGCGUGCAGGAUGAAGGCCUUUGGGUCGUAAACUGCUUUUAUAUGAGAAAAAUAAAUCCCCGCGGGGAUGAAUGAUGGUAUCAUAUGAAUAAGCACCGGCUAACUCCGUGCCAGCAGCCGCGGUAAGACGGAGGGUGCAAGCGUUAUCCGGAUUUACUGGGUUUAAAGAGUACGUAGGCGGCGUUAUAAGUCAGUGAUGAAAGUCAAUAGCUCAACUAUUGAAGUGUCAUUGAUACUGUAAUGCUUGAGUAUAGUCGAGGUGGGCGGAAUUUUACAUGUAGCGGUGAAAUGCGUAGAUAUGUAAAAGAACACCAAUAACGAAGGUAGCUCACUAGGCUAUUACUGACGCUGAGGUACGAAAGCGUGGGUAGCGAACAGGAUUAGAUACCCUGGUAGUCCACGCUGUA
rnacentral:rRNA from 1 species